AACCUCAUUGACCAGAAGGGAUUCCUUCCGGUUGAUGAGUUCAAUCUUCCUCAUCAACCGGAAGGGAUCCCUUCCAGUCAAUGAGGGACAUCUUCCUCAUUGACCGGAAGGAAUCCCUUCUGGUCAAUGAGAUU
rnacentral:miRNA from 1 species